AGAGCAAAACAAAUACUCCAUAUAUUCAUCAAAAGUUUCACAUAGCCCACAAACUGUCGUCUCAAAGUAACAAUUUUGUACCUUCAAUGGCAUCAUAAUAGGAAUCCAAUCCAUGACCACUCUCAUGUUACACUAUUACACUGUGUUCUUGAGUUGAAAAACAGAAAGAAAAGAAAGUAAGUCAAAAGAAAAUUAUAGAAAGUGAGUUCUUGAGUUUUUUUUAGUAAAAGAAGAUAAGUGAUUGAGAAAGAUUGGGAUGGGCAGUUCUUAUGAAUUUUGCUUAUCACAUCUUCCGCCCAAAUUUUGGGUGGAUUGCAAAGGAACACAAACAAGCGCCUGAUUAAAGUACUAAUAUACCCUCUAUAUGAUUAUCCCUUUUAUAAUAUUGGGCUUCUCAUUCCCUCCAAGAUAGUCAUCUGCCGGUUCUCUUUUGGCGCCAAAGAAAGCAUGUCUCUCUUCCUCAACCAUUCUUCCACAACCAUUGAUUUUCAGGUGGUUCCGGAAGAAGGAACUAGGUAUUGUUGAUUUGAAGUUGUUGACUUGAAGUGUUAGUGACUUGAAGGUAUUUGGUCAUCCGUAGAAGAAUGACAUUUUGGUUAGAAACCUAGUUAAUUCCCUCUCAAACUCUUGGCUCUUGAUACAUUUGUCUUUUGAAUGAAAAUGUUGUGUAUGAUGUAUUUUAAGUCUUGAAGUCUUGACUAUUAUGGUGGAUUGAAGUAUAAAUCAUUUUGGAGUCAAAUUGGUCAUUUCGUCACUUUGGGUAAAUGUGGGCGAGUGACCCGUUUGGUUGUUUUAAUGUAAAUUUCAAUGGUUAAAGUUUCGAAUGUAUCAA